rnacentral:rRNA from 1 species
AUUGAACGCUGGCGGCAGGCCUAACACAUGCAAGUCGAACGAGUGGCGGACGGGUGAGUAAUGUCUGGAAAACUGCCCGAUGGAGGGGGAUAACUACUGGAAACGGUAGCUAAUACCGCGUACCAUAGGAUGUGCCCAGAUGGGAUUAGCUUGUAGGUGAGGUAACGGCUCACCUAGGCGACGAUCCCUAGCUGGUCUGAGAGGAUGACCAGACACACUGGAACUUAGACACGGUCCAUACGCCGAGGGGAGGCAGCAGUGGUGAAUAUUGCAAAAUGGGCGCAAGCCUGAUGCAGCCAUGCCGCGGGGAUGAAGAAGGCCUUCGGGUUGUAAAGUACUUUCAGCGGGGAGGCGUUACCUGCAGAAGAUGCACCGGCUAACUCCGUGCCAGCAGCCGCGGUAAUUC